rnacentral:hammerhead_ribozyme from 1 species
GCAUUGUUGACGACUCCCAAAUAGGACGAAACAGCUGUCCAGUGC